UACGGGGGGGGUAAGCGUUGUUCGGAAUUACUGGGCGUAAAGCGCACGUAGGCGGCUUUGUAAGUUAGAGGUGAAAGCCUGGAGCUCAACUCCAGAAUUGCCUUUAAGACUGCAUCGCUUGAAUCCAGGAGAGGUGAGUGGAAUUCCGAGUGUAGAGGUGAAAUUCGUAGAUAUUCGGAAGAACACCAGUGGCGAAGGCGGCUCACUGGACUGGUAUUGACGCUGAGGUGCGAAAGCGUGGGGAGCAAACAGG
rnacentral:rRNA from 1 species